CUAGGGCGGGGGGGGGUUCGCCGCCGUUGGUCGUCAGCCAUGAGCGAGCUAGCCUAUUUUGUGGGGGGUUUUCGUUCGGUGGUAUGUCGGCCACAAGCCGCACUUAAUGAAAUACACGUAGGGGGUGUCGCGGAGGCUUGUCAGACAUGAGCGCGCCUGUUUGUGCAGGGACGACAGCUCUGAGGCCCGCCACACUAAAAAAAACACAAAAAGAGUAAGAAAAAGAAGAAAUCAAAGGAUAAAGACAGACACCAUGAGAGUGGAAGUUCUGACGGAGAUUCAGACAGAGCUGCGGAAAUGAAGAAGAAAAAGAAAAAGAAGAGCCAUCGGGACAGCGAUCCCGAACUGCACAGCCCAGUGCUCUGAGCCACAGAAACAGAAGCAGCGAGGAAAGGGAGAGCCGCAAGCGACACCACUCUGACAGAGACUUUGAACAUGACAAUGGCUUUCCACCGGAAAAACGUCGCUGCACAGACUACGCUGACGGCAGCGGUGGCCAUCUACUACCUUCCAAUCAUACCACACCGGCAAACUGUUCAAGUUACGGCCAUCUCAAUGGACAACCAGAUCCAUCAACCGAAUUUUAACAACAGCAGAGGAAUGACAUCAACUUUAUUGACGUGGUGCUUCUUCAUUAGGAAUAAAGUGUUUUAAAAUUUAAA